GUGCAUGGUGUGAGGGUGUAUUCUAGUUUCAUGGAUUUUCAUGAAGCUGUCCAGGUUUCCCAGCAAUUCUUGCUGAAAAAACUGUCUUUUUCCCAUAUUAAGUUCUUCCUCCUUUGUCGAAGAUUAAUUGACCAUAGGUGUCUGGGUUUAUUUCUGGUUCUCUGUUCUGCUACAUUGGUCUGUAUGUGUGUUUUGGUACCUGUAGUACACUGGCUUUGUAAUAUUGCCUGAAGUCUGGGAGAGUGAUGGCUCCUGCUUGGUUUUUGUUCCUGAGGAUUGCUUUGGCAAUUCUGGGUCUUUUGUGGUUCCAUAUAAAUUUUUGGAUUGUUUGUUGUAGUUCUGUGAAAAACGUCCUGGGUAAUUUGGUAGGGAUUGCAUUGAAUCUGUAGAUUGGUAGCAUGGCCAUUUUUACAAUAUUAAUUUUUCCAACCCAGGAGCAUGGGAUAUCGUUCCAUUUCUUUGAAUCCUCUUUAAUUCCCUUGAUUAAUAUUUUAUAGUUCUCAGCAUAUAAGUCUUUCACCUCCUUGGUCAGGUGUAUACCCGGGUAUUGGAUUUUUGGGGCACAAUUUUAGAAGGUAUUUUUGUAUUCCUUUUCUAAUAUUUCAUUGUUAGUAUACAGAAAUGCCACUGAUUUCUGAAUGUUAAUCUUAUGUCCUGCUACUUUGCUGCAUUUGUUGAUCAGUUCAGGUAGUUUUUGUGUGGAGUCCUUAGGGUUUUCUAUGUAUAGUAUCAUGUCAUCUGCAUACAGUGACAGUUUACCUCUUCUCUUCCUAUUUGGAUGCCCUUUAUUUCUUUUGUUUGUCUGACUUCUGUGGCUAGGACUUUCAGUACUAUGUUGAAUAAAAGUGGUGAAAGUGGGACAUCCCUGUCUUGUUCCAGCUUUUAGCAGGAAGGCUUUCAUCUUUUCUCCAUUUAGUGUUAUAUUUGCUUUGGGUUUGUCAUAAAUGGUUUUGGUUAUGUAAAGGAAUGUUCCCUCUCUACCAACUUUGGCAAGAAUUUUUAAUCAUGAAUGGAUGUUGGAUUUCGUGAAAUGCUUUUUCUCCAUCUACUGAGAUGAUCAUGUGGUUUUGACUUUUCUUCUGUUAAUGUGGUGUAUGAAGUUGAUUUAUUUGGGUAGGUUGAACCAUCCUUAUGAACCUGUCAUUUAUCCCACUUGGUGAUGGUGUAUGAUCUUUUUGAUAUGUUGUUGGAUUCAGUUGGCUAAAAUUUUGUUGAGAUUUUUGUGUCUAUAUUUAUCAAAGAUAUUGGCCUAAAAUUUUCUUUUUUGGUGGUAUCUUUGAUUUUGGUAUUAGGGUAAUGGUUGUGUCAUAGAAUGUCUUUGGGAGUGUUACUUCUUCUUCAACCUUUUGGAAAAGUUUAAGGAGAAUGGGUAUAAAUUCCUCUUUGUGUGUUUGGCAGAAUUUGCCUGUGAAGCCAUCUGAUCCUGGACUUUUGUUUGUAGGGAAUGUUUUUUUAUUACAUAUUCAGUUUCAUUUCUAGUGAUUGGUCUGUUCAGUUGAUCUACUUCUUCAUUCAGUUUUGGCAAGUUUUAAGUCUCUAGAAAGCUGUCCAUUUCUUCCAGAUUGUCAACUUUUUUGGCAUAUAAUUGUUCAUAGUAUUCUUUUGUGGUUUUCUUUUUUUGUAUUUCUGCAGUAUCUCUGAUUUCUCCAUUUUCAUUUCUUAUUUUGUUCAUCUUAGCGAUACAGGCCUUUCUCAAAAAAGAAGAAAAAUCUCAAAUUGACAACUUAACCCAUACCUAAAUGAAUUAGAAAAAGAAGAACAAACAAAACCUAAAGUCAGCAAAAGGUAACAAAUCAUAAAAAUCAGAGAGGAAAUCAAUAAAAUAGAGGUUCGAAAAGAAAUCAAUAAAACCAAGAGCUGGUUCUUUGACAAGGUAAACAAAAUUGACAAACCCCUGGCCAGACUCACCAAGAAGAGGAGAGAAAAAAACCCAAAUAUACUUUUCAAUAUAUAUGAGUAAUGGUAGAAAUAAAUACAGAUGUGAAUAUGCAUAUAUGGCUCUCCACUCAGAGGGCCUGGUUACAGUGACACCCUAACAACAAUGAGCAUCAUCAGUGCCCAGAUCAUGGUUUGUAAAUUCCUUUCUCCACCCUAAGGAACUGGAACUCUCUAGAGAAAUGACUGAUUUCAGGGUAUAAGCAGGGAAAGUAUAAGAUGAUCUUGCACUAUUUUGUUGCUCCAGAAAAUAAAGUGUGUUUAAAGAAUGAUAGCAACAUAUCAAAGGAUAAUGAAAACUACCUUGAAAGGGCUCCACUGGCCAAUGGUGGGACAAUUUGAGCAACAAAAUAAAAAAGAUAGUGACAGAUUAAAAUCAAUUGAAUAAUAUAAAUGUUUCAGAGUCCAUACUGGUAUAAAUAAAUAAUAAUGAAUGAAGAGAAGAAAACACUUUUAUGGUGCAGUAGAAUGCCAAUUAAUGUGUAGAAAAAAUAAUGGUAUUAGAAAAUAAUUUGGCAGCUAUCAUAGUGAUAAUUAAUUUGAUCAAGAAUGUUAAUGGAUGCUAAAACUUAUGGGUCAAAGUUUGAUGAUGAACUGAAUAUUCACAUACUCAAACUACCCUUCCAAACGUUCUUUUUUAUCACAGGGGAAAAAUGGAAACUGCAUGAUGGAGAAACCUGGCCGAUAAAACCUGGGUCAAAAGAUCAAAGUUAACAUCAUUAGUAAUAAAACACAGCAACGUCCCAUGCCAUAUGUUAAGAUGUGAUGAGGAGAAUCCAGCAUCACUUCCAUUCUGUUCUUGCCCUGAAUCUAAUCAUGAGGAAACUUUGAUAAACUUAAAACUAAGGGACAUUCCACAAAUUAACUGGCAUAUAAUUUUCAAGUGUUAAGAACUUAAAAGUCAAGGGAACACUGAGGGACUAAAUUGAAGAUGACUAAUGAGAUAUGGCACCUAAAUAUACUUGGUUUAUCUGGGUGGAUCUUUUUUUUUUUUCUUCUACUAGAAAGGGCAUUAUUAGGACAAUAGGCUACAAGUUUGGAGUCUAUGGAUUAGAUGGUAUUAAAUGUAACAGUGUUAACUAAGUUUGAUGGUUCUAUUGUGGUUAUGUAGGAGAAUAUCCUUAUUUGUUUUCAGGAGUAAUGGAGUAUUAGGUCAUCAUGUUACCUUAAAAUAGGUCAGGAAAAAAGUUACUUGUAUUAUUCUUGCAAAAUUAUUUUAAAAAUUAAAAAUAAAUAUAUAGAAGUAGUCCAGUAGAAAACUGACAGAACACUGUAAACUAGCUAUAAUGGAAAAAAAAAUCAUU
rnacentral:lncRNA from 1 species